CUUGCCAGUUAAUCUCAUGGCCUAACCUUUGUGAUCAAAUUGUCUCCAGGGUUAAGUACCCAGAUCAUGUAACUUUAUUACGAGGAAAUCAUGAGCAGGCAGAUUACACAAGUUUAUGGCUUCUAUGAUGAGUGUCUUCAUGAAUACGGCUCGGUGAAUGUCUGGAGAUGUUGCACAGAAAUAUUCGACUAUUUAAGUUUGUCUGCACUUACUAAGAACAAAAUCUUCAAUGUCCAUGGAGGCCUUUCCCCUGCUACUACGACACUGAAUCGGGUACAUUAUUC